UACAUAGGUAACCUGCCGUGAAGUGGGGAAUACCAAGGCGAAAGACUGGUUAAUACCGCAUAAUAUCAACAUAUCAUGUAUGUUGAAGAAAGGAGCAAUCCGCUUUAUGAGGGGCCUAUGCUCGAUUAGUUAGUUGGUGGGGUAAGAGCUUACCAAGGCGAUGAUCGAUAGCUGGUCUGAGAGGAUGAUCAGCCACACUGGGACUGAGACACGGCCCAGACUUCUACGGAAGGCAGCAGUGGGGAAUAUUGCGCAAUGGGCGAAAGCCUGACGCAGCGACGCCUCGUGAGUGAAGAAGUU
rnacentral:rRNA from 1 species